GCAGAUAUAGUUUAACGAAGACACUGGAUUGUGAUUCCAGGGACAGAGGUUCAAGCCCUCUUAUCCGCC
rnacentral:tRNA from 1 species